rnacentral:lncRNA from 1 species
GUUAAUACCGCAUGGAUCUGCUUCUGUUGGUGAUGACGGAUGAUUUUAGAAAAUUUGAGAUGAGCUGUUCUUCCUCACCCCACACCCACCUCAGUCUCCAACUGCUUAUGCAGAGGUCUUCAGGAGGCUCCAAGACCAGCAGGCAUAUAAGCAAAACGGAACAUAGACACUGGAAGCAACUUUCCUGUGUUAGUAAGCCAGCAGCAUCCUCACACCAUGCGACUUUACAACAACUGCUGCCCUAUCCUCAGAGCCUCUGCCCGGCAUGGACUGGGGCACUCAGAAUGGUAUCCCUUGAUAUAAUGCAUAUACGAUGGCACUGUCUACCACCUCCUCAUGCCUAAACAUUUCUCAGUUUUCAGAUUUAGAGUCUCAAAACUGUUUCCACAGUAUUGAACUCCCAGUUUUCUAAACCCCAACACGUUUCUUUCUUGAUCACGGAUCGUCUUUUCGGAUGACAGCAUCCUGGCUUGAAUCCAGAGCAAAAAACCAUUGAAGUCAAAUUAAAACAUAAUUUUAUGAUGACAAAUUUAUUAAAGUUAAUAAUUCAACUCACU